AUUGUAACCCGUUGUUUAAAAAGCAGUUAGAAGUUGAUUCGAGCUAACAACCCAUCGUCUGUAGCAGUUUGUUUGCUUCCUCAUCGGGUAUUCUUCAGUAAACAUGAAGUCUUUAUUUCUAUCUGCAGUGUUAGCAUGUUGUUUGCUGAUAGCACAUACCUACCCAUUGGAUGAUGAUGAAACGAACUAUCAGAUAUUAAAGCGGAUUCUUGGAGAUCUAAACGAAAUCCAUACCAAGGCGAUUAAGCGAGGAAAACCUUGCGCAGCGGCCAACGACAUGAUGACGUUAAUGGAGUGCUUUGGCUUCCACAAACGCUCUCCCUCAAAUUUACGCAAUGAACUCGGCCAAGAAGAUAAGUAAAAUCACCAAUGCCAGCAACUAUUGAAAGCCUUACAACUCAGUCGUAGCCAGUAGAUCUUAGAAGCACCACUUCACAGACUAUUACAGAUUUGUUUCAACCAAUCAGUUACAAGGAGUAUAGCAUGUUCUAUCACGUGGGUGACUCUUCGCACCAAUUAAAAACUGUUAAGAAUUCGAAAUAUAUUUUUGGUUAUGAGUAAAUAUAUAUUUCGGACGACGCAUGUUCAAAUCAUCAAUUGCCUUGAAAGACAUUAUUUUUACAAAAACAUUAUAAACGUUGAAAACUGUUCGAUACCAAUUUAUGUUCUCUCCAUCAAGAUGAAUAUUUGAUUUUACUAUAAAAACUUUAAAUAUACUGUAUAUGUAUAAAAAUAAUGAAGUUUGUAUUGUUUUAAUUAAAAGUACAUGCGGCAUAUUAUGGUUUAGAUAAUGUGUUGUUAUUGUAAUUUCCAGAUAAUCUGCAAUAUAGAAGUGAGUCAUCAUCAAAAUGUAGUCACAUACCAAGUUAAAUUAACAAUAAUAUUCUUUGUAAAUGUAAACAGACAAAUUGUUGUAGGAAACUAAGCGAUUAAUUAUUUGAUUAAGAAGAAAAAAAAUGACGACGAUAAGGAUAGUCUUUAUUCAUUUUCGAAAAGUCAGGCGGGGAAUAUUUUAAAAAUCUAUAACUUGCAUUAUUAUGUAAUUAAGCAAAACAUGACUGAUUUUGUUUACGGUAUCUUUCGUCACAUAUUUUAAUAAAACUCAAAAUAUCCUGA